UCUAUUCAUCUUUUGAAAUUUGAAUAUGUGCACUUUUGAAGGCCAUACCUUAAAUCAUUUGCUCCACUGUGCUUCUUUCAUUAUCAGUAAGGUCUUUCAUAAUUCCAGAAGUGCAACUUUUAUAACCAUUUCCCCACUUUUCCAUUUCACUCAACAUACCCUAUGAUUAAUAACACAUCCAUGCAUCCAUGUUCUGAAUAGUCAAUUU
rnacentral:lncRNA from 1 species